GUGACACUGGAGACAUAGCAGCUGGCAGUAGCACGCGCGGCCAUGGCGACCGAGAACUACGACCCCUGCUACCCGGACCAGCUGGCGGUGCACCGGUACCUGCCCCUGUGGGCCAGGAUGCCGGCGUUCGCCGCCAAGCCGGCCUUCCUCUGGGCCGACGACGACGCGGCCACCGGCGCCAUGUCAUACACGGCGAUCACGUACUCCGAGCUCAAUGCUGCGGUGGACCGCAUGGCGUCCGGGCUCCUCGCCACGCUCCGGCGCGGCGACACCGUGCUCGUGCUCGCCUCCCCCGGCCUCCGCCUCGUCAAGCUCCUCUUCGCGUGCCAGCGCGCCGGGCUCACCGCGGUGCCCGUCAUCCCGCCCGACCCGUCCAGGCCCGGCCCCGCGCACGCGCACCUCCUGCGCGCCGUGUCUCAGACGAGGCCCAGCGCUGCCGUCGCCGACGCGCGCUACGUCACCGCCGUCGCCUCCAGCCGGCUCGCCGCAGCGCUGAGCGGCCUGCGCUGGCUGUCCGUGGACGAGCUGGACGAACGAGAGGCUGGUUUGCCGCGCGCCAUGGCGGGCCACGCGGGCUGCGGCGCGGGAGACGCGUACCUGGUCCAGUACACGUCCGGCGCCACGGGCGUCCCGAAGCCUGUGGUGGUCACCGCCGGCUCGGCGGCGCACAACGUGCGGGCGGCGAGGCGGGCCUACGACCUGGGCCCCGGCAGCACCAUCGUCUCGUGGCUGCCGCAGUACCACGACUGCGGCCUCAUGUUCCUGCUCCUCACCAUUGUCUCCGGCGCCACCUGCGUGCUGGCCUCGCCCGACUCCUUCCUUCGGCGCCCGCGCCUUUGGCUCGAGCUCAUCUCCGAGUUCAAGGCGACGUGCACGCCCGUUCCGUCGUUCACGUUGCCGCUCGUGCUCCGCCGUGGCGGCGGGCGCUCGGCGUCGGCGCACGGACUGCAGCGGCCGGUGCAGCUCGGCAGCCUCCGGAACCUGAUCCUGAUAAACGAGCCGAUCUACAAGGCGUGCGUCGACGAGUUCGUCGCAGAGUUCGGCCGCCACGGGCUGCGGUCCGAGUCGGUCUCUCCGUCGUACGGCCUCGCCGAGAACUGCACGUUCGUGUCCACGGCGUGGCGGAGCACCAGCGGGCGCGUGGACCGCCUCCCGUCGUUCAAGAAGCUUCUGCCGUCGGCGAGGCUGCCAUCGUCCAGGGCGCACGAGGCGUCGGAGAUCGAAAUCGUCGUGGUGGACGAGAAGACCGGUGAGCCGGUGAGGGACGGCACGGAGGGGGAGGUCUGGGUCUCCUCGCCGAGCAACGCGUCGGGGUACCUAGGCCACCCGUCGGCGAGCCACGAGGCAUUCUGCGGGAGGAUGCCGGGGAGGGCGGGGUCGCGCUUCGUGCGCACGGGCGACCGCGGCGUGGUCACCGGGCCAGAGCGGUAUCUGUAUGUCGUCGGCCGGAGCGUCGACGUGGUCGUCACGGCGCUCAACAGCCGCGUGCACGCACACUACAUCGAGACGGCAGCUCUCGAAAGAGCGCCAGACCGCCUUAGAGGCGGCUGCAUUGCCGCUUUCACGGCGCCGACGACAACGUCUUCGAAGGAGCAAUUGUGCGUCGUCGCGGAGCUGCAGAAGGGAAGCCGCAGCGAUGACCACACGAGUCUCUGUGAUGGCAUAAGGCGGUCGGUGUGGGAGGCGGGAAAGGUGAGGGUUGGUCGGGUACUGCUUGUCCAGAGCGGCGCGGUGCCGAAGACGACGUCGGGGAAGGUGCGCCGUGGGGCGGCAAGGGAGAAGCUGGUCGCCCGGAGGUAUCCGGUGGUUUUUGAGGCCCUGUACGACGACGGUGACGGCGAGGGCUCGACACGUGCGGUGGGUGACGAAGAUGGGGAAAUGGAGGAGAGGUGUGCGGCGAGCUGGAUGGCAGGAGAGGGCGGGGUGCCCGGCAUGGCCACGACCUUAGGGGCAAGCUGCCGUAUUCGCGUGCAAUCGUUUCUUUGAGAAAGAAGUUUCGUGUGUAGUAGGAUGUGGGGAAUGGUUUGGUUUUGUCUUGGUGAUCAUGUUUGAUGAUGAAACAACUCUCCCUUUUUGCCAUGUACUCCCUCAGUCCCGAAAAAUAUGUCGUAAGGGCAAUUUUACAAAAAAAACCUUCAGUUUCUCCCGACCAAACCCGCACUCCUCGUCGUCCUCCUCCGACAGAAUCCCCAGCUGCGCUGCUCCCCGCCGCCGUCGCUUCCCCGCUCCCCCGCCGCAGCUGCGCUGCUCCCCGCCGCCGCGGCUCCCCUGCUCCCCCGCUCCCUCGCCGCAGCCGCCUCCUGCUCCGGCGCCGCAGCUGCCGCUCGCCUGCCUCCCCAAGCUCCCCGCUUCCUCAUAAAAAUCUUUGAUUUCCCCAGCUUAAGCUCGACGACCCACGCGCCACCAGAGGAGGAGGGAACCGAGGUCGGCGCCCCUGCCAAUCUCCACAACCUCCAGCGACCAACCCCAUCUCCUGCCCCCUGCAACUGGUCCUGCCAGUACGCCGCUUCCGCCGCCGGUGAAUGCCCUCCGCAAGGACUGCGCCUAGCCCCUCUGCUCCGGCGCUCCUUGGCCGUCCCUGGCCCUCUGCCUGGUCGCCAGGGACGUGCAGCUCCGCGCCUGCUCCAGCCGGGGGCCGCCACCCGCCACGCCGGCUCUGGCCCUUUGCUCCGACCAAUCCCGGUGCUGCUCGCCUGCUCGGCCGAACUCUGUCGCCCAAGACUUGCUGUCAACAAACUGCAAGCAGGCUGGGACAAGGGACAAUUGGCUUCUUCAAGAAGGUAGAAGACGCCGUCCACCCUGUGUCACCGUCGCCAGAAGGUAGAAGACGCCGUCCACUCCUGUUCAGCCACUGCACCAUCGUCCAGCACCUCAAGGCCGACAUUGCCUGGAGCUCCUGUUCAAGAUUUCAGAUCCAGAGGAGCUCUGGCGACAACACAAGGAGCAGGCCAGAGAAGCACAAGGCAGCUGCUACUAGAGCUCUGCUGCUGCUGGUCAACACGAAUAUCGAGCUGCGAAUCAAUUUCACUCUGUAUCAACAGAGGAGCACUGACAAGCGAGCUGCAGAUCAAUUUCAAUAUGUAUCAGCUGCAGGAUUAGAGCGGAGUAGCAGAGGUAGAGCCGGAGGCCUCGGGGGUCGGGGGCGGGGAUCGGAGGGCGUCAGCAGCAGAGGCGUCGCCCGCCACCACCACCUCAACCAGCCGGCGAGCCAAAGUGGACCAGCACGGCGACCAGCGCGGCGGCAGUGAGUGCGGAGUCGUGGGCGGAGUGGACCAGCGCGGCGGCGGUCGGUGGUGGAGGACCCGCUCGUCGGUGGGCGCCGGAGGACCCGCUCGUUGGUGGCCGGCGGAGGACCCGCUCGUUGGUGGCCGGCGGAGAUCCUCCUCCUGGGCGGGCGGCAGAGUCCUCGUGGGCGGGCGGCGGAGAUCCUCCUCGUGGGCAGCGGAGGUCUUGUUCGUGGGUGGGCUCGUCGGUGUCUCAGGAACUGCGGCGGCUGGCCCUGGCGAUUGGAGACGGCUGGCCCUGGCGAUUGAAGACGGCUGGCCGUGGCGACGCGGGCGACGGGAGGAGGGAGAUGGGGGCUUAAUUUCUAGAGUUUUGAAAGUGGAAGGACUAAAAUGCAAAAAAUCAAAUGUACUAUCCCCGCGACAUUAUUUUCAGGACGGAGGGAGUAGUAGUAUUAUUUCUUGAUGUCCAUUUAGGGAAGUUGAAAAUCUAUUGUUUUUAGUGUUGUGUUCAUGAACCCGAAAUGUCAUGCUAAUAGUUUUCGAAUGUUAGCGCUCUU
rnacentral:rRNA from 1 species